rnacentral:lncRNA from 1 species
GUAACUGAAGACUCCAACAACAACUUUAAGAUCAACCAAAAAUUCCCACCAUUAUGGCUACCAAUUCUAACCCUUGGACCUUAACACACAAUCUUGCUUCCUGGUCUGGUUCAUUAUUUCCUAUCUUCUUUUCCUCCCUCAGAAAAACAAGUCCAUUCAUAGUUACAGUUGUGGGAUGUGGGGAGGAGCCCUCGCCUGUGCCCUAGAAAGGAGAACACUGCAGGAAGGGGGCCACUAAUUAGCUGGUCCCAGAGCUUCAUGAAGCUGGCAUGGUUUCUUUAUUUUUAAGGCUUCAAGGCAGGGGCCAGACUGGGCAAAGAACAAUGAGAGCAUCGCAGAGGUGAUGCUUUUAA